CCUACGGGUGGCAGCAGUGGGGAAUAUUGGACAAUGGGGGGAACCCUGAUCCAGUCAUGCCGCGUGUGUGAAGAAGGCCCUCGGGUUGUAAAGCACUUUCAGUGAGGAAGAACGCCUGGUGGUUAAUACCCAUCAGGAAAGACAUCACUCACAGAAGAAGCACCGGCUAACUCCGUGCCAGCAGCCGCGGUAAUACGGAGGGUGCGAGCGUUAAUCGGAAUUACUGGGCGUAAAGCGCGCGUAGGUGGCUUGAUAAGCCGGUUGUGAAAGCCCCGGGCUCAACCUGGGAACGGCAUCCGGAACUGUCAAGCUAGAGUGCAGGAGAGGAAGGUAGAAUUCCCGGUGUAGCGGUGAAAUGCGUAGAGAUCGGGAGGAAUACCAGUGGCGAAGGCGGCCUUCUGGACUGACACUGAUACUGAGGUGCGAAAGCGUGGGUAGCAAACAGGAUUAGAUACCCCAGUAGUC
rnacentral:rRNA from 1 species